rnacentral:snRNA from 1 species
AUACUUAUCUGGCAGGGGAGACACCAUGAUCACGAAGGUGGUUUUCCUGGGGCGAGGUUGAUCCGUUGCACUGGGGACCUGCUGAGCCCUGCAAUUUCCCAUAGGGGAUUUUUUUUUUUUUUUAAGAUUUAC